UUCUUCUUAACCUGCAGUUUGAUUCUUUAUUCUGUAUUUUUAUGUAUUUGAUUCAAACUCCAGAAGUUUGUCACAUUAAUGAAGAGCAUCAAUGAGUCCUGAGAAAGACUGAACCAUUUUAAAGUUAGCAGUGCUAAUGUUGCUAACGCUGCUAACUGUCUCUGGUUUUUCUGACAGUGAGCUGAAGAAGUGAGGCUCAGAUCUGCUUCCUGUUAAAGUUUUGUAACCACAGGACAGAGGAAGGGGAGGAGGUUCACCUCGAUGGAAAUACAAACUUCAUCUGCAUUUCACAGAAACUGAGAGAAACGAUGAGAGGAGCAUCAUGGCUGAUCUUUCUGACAUCAGAACUGCUCUGGACAUCAAGCCCAGUUCUCCCAGUUCCUCUGACUGUGAAUCCCAGCAGAUCUCAGUUCUUUCAAUAUGAACCAGUGACUCUGAUCUGUGAGGAUGAAAACAGAUCUGAUGGAUGGACUGUGAGGAGAAACACGACCAGAGAGACCAGAGCUGACUGUGAGGACUGGGGUCAACCAGUGAACUCUUCAUGUACUUUAACUGGUCUCGUCCCAUUAGACACUGGUGUGUACUGGUGUGAGUCCAGGUCUGGCUC